rnacentral:rRNA from 1 species
UACAGAGGUCUCAAGCGUUGUUCGGAUUCAUUGGGCGUAAAGGGUGCGUAGGUGCGGCGCGUAAGUCGGGUGUGAAAUUUCGGAGCCUAACUCCGAAACUGCAUUCGAUACUGGCGUGCUUGAGGACUGGAGAGGAGACUGGAAUUCAUGGUGUAGCAGUGAAAUGCGUAGAGAUCAUGAGGAAGACCAGUGGCGAAGGCGGGUCUCUGGACAGUUCCUGACACUGAGACACGAAGGCCAGGGGAGCAAACGGGG